rnacentral:rRNA from 1 species
UACGUAGGUGACAAGCGUUGUCCGGAUUUACUGGGCGUAAAGAGCGCGCAGGCGGUCGAUCAAGUCGAGUGUGAAAGCCCCCGGCUCAACCUCGGAACUGCCUUCGAUACUGCGGGUCUCGAGUCCGGGAGAGGUGAGUGGAAUUCCUAGUGUAGAAGGUGAAAUUCGUAGAUAUUAGGAAGAACACCAGUGGCGAAGGCGGCUCUGGCCCGGU